GCUAGCUGAAAACCACCUACUGCACAUUUCAUCCUAUCAAAGGUGAUUUGGACUUGUUUGGUUACAUAAUUUGUCCUUCAUUUGCAAUAAUAACUUGUCAUUUUUUCCCUGCACCUACUUGAAAAUUUCAUUAAUUCAUCAUUAACUCAAAAGUUUAUAUUUCAGCGAUGGGAAAAUGUAAAGAUCUACUUUUAUUCCUUAUUCUUGGUAAAGAUUUAUCAUAUCAAUUUGGCAUAAUUAUAACAAUCUUCUUUAUAUCUACUUGCCCACCUCUCACCUUCUUCAUUCUCAAACACGUCACUUGAAAGAAAAUCCACACAUUGAAGAAAAUUCUUGGCAUAUUUUGUCUCAGGGAGUCACACAGUGGCAUAGUGAUAGAGAUACAUUGCCCCCAUUUGCUUAACACAUUUUGGCAUUAGGUGAAGCUGUAUUUCUUUGACAUUUUGGUAUAUAUAGUGUAAAUUUUAGCAAUAGAGUUUAAUUUAUUUUUGCAGUAGUGCAACUUUGAUACUGUACUUAUGUAUUUAUUUGAUCUUGUGGUAGUAUAGUAUAUGCACUAGAUGGUUGUUUUUA